rnacentral:rRNA from 1 species
AUUGAACGCUGGCGGCAGGCCUAACACAUGCAAGUCGAGCGGUAGCACAGAGAGCUUGCUCUCGGGUGACGAGCGGCGGACGGGUGAGUAAUGUCUGGGAAACUGCCUGAUGGAGGGGGAUAACUACUGGAAACGGUAGCUAAUACCGCAUAACGUCGCAAGACCAAAGUGGGGGACCUUCGGGCCUCAUGCCAUCAGAUGUGCCCAGAUGGGAUUAGCUGGUAGGUGGGGUAACGGCUCACCUAGGCGACGAUCCCUAGCUGGUCUGAGAGGAGGACCAGCCACACUGUAACCGAGACACGGUCCAGACUCCUACGGGAGGCAGCAGUGGGGAAUAUUGCACAAUGGGCGCAAGCCUGAUGCAGCCAUGCCGCGUGUGUGAAGAAGGCCUUCGGGUUGUAAAGCACUUUCAGCGGGGAGGAAGGCGGUGAGGUUAAUAACCUCACUGAUUGACGUUACCCGCAGAAGAAGCACCGGCUAACUCCGUGCCAGCCGCCGCAGUAAUAC